UAAAAGGUGGCUCGGCUACCACUUACAGAUGGACCGCGGCGCAUUAGCUAGUUGGUGAGGUAACGGCUCACCAAGGCGACGAUGCGUAGCCGACCUGAGAGGGUGAUCGGCCACACUGGGACUGAGACACGGCCCAGACUCCUACGGGAGGCAGCAGUAGGGAAUCUUCCGCAAUGGACGAAAGUCUGACGGAGCAACGCCGCGUGAGUGAUGAAGGUUUUCGGAUCGUAAAGCUCUGUUGUUAGGGAAGAACAAGUGCCGUUCAAAUAGGGCGGCACCUUGACGGUACCUAACCAGAAAGCCACGGCUAACUACGUGCCAGCAGCCGCGGUAAUACGUAGGUGGCAAGCGUUGUCCGGAAUUAUUGGGCGUAAAGGGCUCGCAGGCGGUUUCUUAAGUCUGAUGUGAAAGCCCCCGGCUCAACCGGGGAGGGUCAUUGGAAACUGGGGAACUUGAGUGCAGAAGAGGAGAGUGGAAUUCCACGUGUAGCGGUGAAAUGCGUAGAGAUGUGGAGGAACACCAGUGGCGAAGGCGACUCUCUGGUCUGUAACUGACGCUGAGGAGCGAAAGCGUGGGGAGCGAACAGGAUUAGAUACCCUGGUAGUCCACGCCGUAAACGAUGAGUGCUAAGUGUUAGGGGGUUUCCGCCCCUUAGUGCUGCAGCUAACGCAUUAAGCACUCCGCCUGGGGAGUACGGUCGCAAGACUGAAACUCAAAGGAAUUGACGGGGGCCCGCACAAGCGGUGGAGCAUGUGGUUUAAUUCGAAGCAACGCGAAGAACCUUACCAGGUCUUGACAUCCUCUGACAAUCCUAGAGAUAGGACGUCCCCUUCGGGGGCAGAGUGACAGGUGGUGCAUGGUUGUCGUCAGCUCGUGUCGUGAGAUGUUGGGUUAAGUCCCGCAACGAGCGCAACCCUUGAUCUUAGUUGCCAGCAUUCAGUUGGGCACUCUAAGGUGACUGCCGGUGACAAACCGGAGGAAGGUGGGGAUGACGUCAAAUCAUCAUGCCCCUUAUGACCUGGGCUACACACGUGCUACAAUGGACAGAACAAAGGGCAGCGAAACCGCGAGGUUAAGCCAAUCCCACAAAUCUGUUCUCAGUUCGGAUCGCAGUCUGCAACUCGACUGCGUGAAGCUGGAAUCGCUAGUAAUC
rnacentral:rRNA from 1 species